GAUGGAUUGCAAAUCAAAUUUGCUGAUCGAGACAACACCCGGAUUGAUGGGCGCUUCUUGU
rnacentral:sRNA from 1 species